rnacentral:rRNA from 1 species
GACGAACGCUGGCGGCGUGCUUAACACAUGCAAGUCGAACGGAGUGGCGAACGGGUGAGUAAAACGUGGGUGAUCUGUCUUGCACUUCGGGAUACGCUUGGGAAACUGGGUCUAAUACCGGAUAGUGCAAGAUGAUCUCGCGUCCGAUAAGCUGGUUGGUGGGGUAAUGGCCUACCAAGGCGUCGACGGGUAGCCGGCCUGAGAGGGUGUACGGCCACAGUGUCACUGGGAUACGGCCCAGACGCCAACGUGAGGCAGCAGUGGAGGAUAUUGCACAAUGGGCGGAAGCCUUAUGCAGCGACGCCGGGUGGGAGAUGAAGGCCUUCGGGUUGUAAACUCCUUUCGACAGAGACGCGGUACCUGUAUAAGAAGCACCGGCUAACUACGUGCCAGCAGCCGCGGUAAUUC